UGACUUUAGUCUCUCAUUUCCUAGAGAAGAAUGGGAAAUUCCUCCUCCAUUUGCUGUGGGACCCAGAAAACCAUUCCAUCUGGCUUUGCCUGGGAGUGAAAUGAACUACUGCAACGGGGUAUCAGCAGGACAUAAAAGCUAACGAAUUGAUUUAAUUUAAAAAGUUUUGUGUGUGUAUACAUGAGGGUGUACACACGUGAAGAUGUAUGUAUGUCUGCGUGUGAGCACACGAGAGGUGCAUUUCUGGCUCUCAAUGUGGACCAUAGGAAAGGAAGAGGCACUUGGUUGUGUGAUAUGAGUACAAAAUCUAGGAAGAGUAUGAGCACAUCCUCCUGCAAUGCUGGCUGCCUGAUUCCUUGUUCCUCCCAGGCUGGAUGGGGUGGUCUGUUACCUUGGUGGUUCCCCAAUGAUCCAUGCCUCCUGGUAAUUGUAGAAAGCAGUCUGGCCUUGGAGUCAGCAGACGCAGAGUCAACUUGCAGUCCUGCCAGAUGCUGUGUGACCUGGGACAGGUGCCUUGGCUUCUCAGAGCCUCAGCUUCCUCUUCUACAAAAUAGGAAUAAUAAAACCUAUCCUGCCAGCCAUGCAGGGAUCUUAAGAGGUCUGAAUAGAACACUGGGUUAGGGAGGCAUCUUAAAGCGCAAUGGAUGCUUACAUUUCCUCCUAUGACAGCACCACCUAGAAGCCACACAACCUGAGCUUCAGCUUGUUCUCACAGGGAGUCCCGUGCACUGUGGGAUAGCUUGGAUUUAUUUUGAGCUGAAAACUUUUUUCUACCAAUUGGUUCUUCUCCAGGUGGGUAUACACACACAAGUGUAGUCCCUCCUCUAGAAGAAAAGCUUUCAGAUUUCUGGAGGGAAGACUGCACCCCCGAUAUGGGCAGAGCAGUCCCUGUGCCCUCUCCCCAUUAGGCUGAGCCUUUGGCUCCCGUCACUGCCAUGGUUACUGUUCUCCAAAGGCACUGUAGGUAACUGACAAUCCUCGAAGUAUCGCGUCUGGAACAGAAUGUCACACUCAGGAUGAUCUAAAAGGGGGAGAAUUAAGUGGGACAGUCGCCUCUCUUGUUCUAGAUGAUGUACCUCUGUUCCCGUAGCUGACCCUUGAUUUGGCUGCUUUGGUCAUCAUGUCUUAAUAGCAGCACUUCCUUCACCAUCUCAUCUUCGAACCCCUGACUUUCUGAUUAUGUCUUUUAUUUCCAGCUUAUUCCAUCUGGUACCCAAUUCAAUAAUUCUCAGAAAAAAAAAAUAAUUCUCAGGCCUCAUCAGGACCUUCUGUCCACUGUUCAUACCACUGCCCUUCACCCUCCUCUCUACUGGGUCCUCAUCUGUCCCUUCUUACCUGGCCUAGAUCUCAUGAUGCUUCAUUAUAAUCAACCCUUGAAGACACUCAAUUCCCUUUUCUCCAUCUUCCUCUCAUGCCUGGCAAAAUUCCAACCCUGAUUAAAUUCUACUCUCUGUCUCUUCCUGCCCUGCAUCCAGACAGUGGAAACUGGUUAGAGAAAAGCACAGAAAAGGGUUAGCUGACCUAAGUUACAUUCAUGACCAGUAACCUCAAGGGGGACCAGGGAGCUUCCCAGCAGCUAUCCUCUAGUUCCCUAGUCUGGACAUUCCAGGUGCUGCCACCUCUGUUUCCAUCCUCUGUCCCCAUCCUCACUCUCAGCGGACGACCUUGUCAUCCAAGGGGGCUCCCACAUGCUCCCACAACAUCUGCCCACCUCGGCCUUCUCUCUGUGAGGAUGGGCUCUGUGCUCCCACCUCAGACGAAGCUCCCCGGUGUGCACUAGACUCUCAUCCCCUUGCUUACUCGGCACGUCUCCCCCACACCCCCCCCACUCCAUUACCAACUUCAUCUUUUCUAUAGGAUCAUCCGCACUGCAUAUAACUUCAAUAUUUCUUUCCCUUAUCUUAAAAAAUAAAAGCAAAAACCACAACAACAAUAAAAUGCUUUCUUCUUAUCCCCAGAUAAGGAAUCCAGGCAAGGAGACUUGAAAGUUUAGUAACCUGUCCAAGGUCAAUGACCUGGAAGUGUGGGGUUGGUUCAGCCGCCUCCAAGGCCCACCCAGAUGAGGCUUCCUGGGCUGCAGAGGCCGGAGCAUCUCUCUCUAGCCCACCGCUCUGGUCCGAGUGGCUGAACUCAGACAAGGAAGUUCUUUGCCAAGGACGUCCAGACCAGCUCUGCCUACCUGGGCACUCUUGGGACAGUAAGAAAGGCUGGAGGUUUUCAAGUGAGAAGGGGACCUGCUAGGUCUGCAGGGGCCUGCUGAGCUGCUGAGACUACCUUGACUGACUCAGCUGGGAGGGUGGGGGCUCUUUGGAGAACAGCCAGCAUGCCAUCCCAGCAGCAUGCCAGCCUCAGCAGCAUGCCAGCCUCAGCAGGGGCAGUGGGUGGCAACGGCGGCAGAGAGUUGGGGCAGGCCAGGAGGGCAGGAGCUGCCAGUGUGGUGCACCCCCGUGCAGACAUGACUCCCCAUGACUCCCCCAGGCCCAGCCCGCGUGGCCCGCGUGGCAGCUCAUUAAUGCUGCCUGGUCCUCGGAGCUGGAAAAUGACGACUAACGAGGCGAGCUCUCUUCCCAGGCCAUUCCGUCAGAAGGGCACACGUCGCUCCCCCACUACUAACAACAUCCCUAUUCCUGCCAGGAACCCAGAACAGCGCGGCCAAGGGGGUUUUUCUCCCGGGACAUCAGAUACGUAACGACCUCCAGAUCACAGACCUGCAGCCACCCCCCCCACCCCCCCUUCUCUGCUCCCAAAGAUUCUCCCAGAGAACAAGCCCAUUUGGCUUUGAGAUUUCCGAGUACACGGGGUCAAGCUGGAAUUUUUGGACCACCCGGAAAAGCAUGCAUCCCUGCCAAAACCCAUGUUGACUUAGUCAUACUAUCUGUUCACAGUCCUCUUUCACAAGGGACAGGCUGACCCACUCACUUGUCCGUCACGGCCUGCAUGAACUCGUCCAGAAGGUCGUCGUACCCCUGCCCGCGCACGCGCCGGUGCUUCAGGCCGAUGUACAGAGGGUCCCUGAGCAGCUCCUGCAACAGAGAGCAUCCGUCUCAUCAAGUGUCUGGGGUUAACAGGCGGGGGGAGGGGGACGGGGAGGAGGGAGGAGCUGCCCCCCAGCCCUACCCCCCGCUCCCUAGGUGCUGUCUCCGAAAGGGUCUGGAAGCUAAGCCACGGAUGGAGGGUGGACCCCUAGGGGUCCACGCUAGGAACCAAGGAUACUUUGCACAAGCAAGACUCUCUGAUUCAGUCUUCCAACCUCUGGCUGCAGCUCUGGGUUCAUUUCAGGGUUUCUCGACAGUGAUACUAUGGACAUUUUGGCCUGGACAAUUCUUUGAUGUGAAGGCUGACCGCACAUUGUAUUGAUAGAAUAUGUAGCAGUGUCUCUGGGCUCUUCCCACUUGAAAUCAGUAGCACCCCCAGU